GAUAAUCUGACCAAAGGCUCCUGACAGUCCGACAGAAACUUCACCCGGGUCAAAAACUUCAGCGAUACAUGGACAAGAGAGAUAAAAACGAGAUAAAAAAGUGCUCUUAGUUCAGUUCAGUCAAUUGAAAGACCGAAACAGGGCAACCUUGAGCAGGUGUUAGGACACAGUCAGAAAGGACACUAGCUUCUGUAAGUGACCUCUCCCCCCGGGUGACCGUCUGCUUUCGCCUGUUGCAAGGAUCAUCAGUCACUGCCACAUGUGCACUUUGUAUGUCUGCCUGCCUAUUCUGCACCUGAACCUUAUUGAUCCAGUAGCAGUACAUCAAGCUGUUAAGAGCCCUGAGCACCCAUCACCCUGAACUCCAGCAAAUCUGUCACACUGUCUCACUCCAUUGAUCCUGCCCCAUUUCCACCUGGUCGUCCUUCUCAGCCCUCCCUGGAGCCCUCAGGGGCCCUCACCCUCCAUGGAGAGCAGGGAGAGGGAAG